ACGGGAGGCAGCAGUGGGGAAUAUUGCACAAUGGGCGCAAGCCUGAUGCAGCCAUGCCGCGUGUGUGAAGAAGGCCUUCGGGUUGUAAAGCACUUUCAGUCGUGAGGAAGGUAGUGUAGUUAAUAGCUGCAUUAUUUGACGUUAGCGACAGAAGAAGCACCGGCUAACUCCGUGCCAGCAGCCGCGGUAAUACGGAGGGUGCGAGCGUUAAUCGGAAUUACUGGGCGUAAAGCGCAUGCAGGUGGUUUGUUAAGUCAGAUGUGAAAGCCCGGGGCUCAACCUCGGAAUAGCAUUUGAAACUGGCAGACUAGAGUACUGUAGAGGGGGGUAGAAUUUCAGGUGUAGCGGUGAAAUGCGUAGAGAUCUGAAGGAAUACCGGUGGCGAAGGCGGCCCCCUGGACAGAUACUGACACUCAGAUGCGAAAGCGUGGGGAGCAAACAGGAUUAGAUACCCUGGUAGUCCACGCCGUAAACGAUGUCUACUUGGAGGUUGUGGCCUUGAGCCGUGGCUUUCGGAGCUAACGCGUUAAGUAGACCGCCUGGGGAGUACGGUCGCAAGAUUAAAACUCAAAUGAAUUGACGGGGGCCCGCACAAGCGGUGGAGCAUGUGGUUUAAUUCGAUGCAACGCGAAGAACCUUACCUACUCUUGACAUCCAGAGAACUUUCCAGAGAUGGAUUGGUGCCUUCGGGAACUCUGAGACAGGUGCUGCAUGGCUGUCGUCAGCUCGUGUUGUGAAAUGUUGGGUUAAGUCCCGCAACGAGCGCAACCCUUAUCCUUGUUUGCCAGCGAGUAAUGUCGGGAACUCCAGGGAGACUGCCGGUGAUAAACCGGAGGAAGGUGGGGACGACGUCAAGUCAUCAUGGCCCUUACGAGUAGGGCUACACACGUGCUACAAUGGCGCAUACAGAGGGCGGCCAACUUGCGAAAGUGAGCGAAUCCCAAAAAGUGCGUCGUAGUCCGGAUUGGAGUCUGCAACUCGACUCCAUGAAGUCGGAAUCGCUAGUAAUCGUGGAUCAGAAUGCCACGGUGAAUACGUUCCCGGGCCUUGUACACACCGCCCGUCACACCAUGGGAGUGGGCUGCAAAAGAAGUAGGUAGUUAACCUUCGGGGGGACGCU
rnacentral:rRNA from 1 species